UUGUGUGUGCACAGAUCUACACUAACUACAUCUUUAUCUACACUUUUAUAUAUGCAUAUUUACUCACAAAUAAUGCAUUAUCUUGCUAAAAGCAAGUAUCAUGCAUAAUCAAACCAUUAAAUGAAAAUAAAAACAUGAAAAUAAAAUCAUGAAAAUAAAAUUAAAACUAAUAAAUAAAUGAAAAGAUGUCUUUGAACUGAAGGAUGUAAAUAACAGUAACAGACAGUACAUCAUUUUGAGACAUUUUCUGUGAAUUACUUAGUUAAGUUUGAUGACCACAGUCUAGCGUGCCAAAAUUUCAUGUUGAGUAACUGUUUGAGGACAGAUAGAGGACAGGAUCUUGAUUAGAUGAUUGCACGUGCGAUGGGAGAGGGACAGCAAAUCAGAAAGCUGAUGUCAUCAUCAUAUGCAAAUGAGCUGGCCAAAUUAAAAUGGUGUGUCAGAGCAGACACCUUGGCAACCUGUUGUGUGGCUGACAGAGCACGCAGACAUGGAGGCUAUAAAAGGAGGAGUGUGAAGAUGAAGUGUCAUCACAUCGCUCAUCAACACUUUCUUCAAGCGGAAUAAGAACAACACCUCCAACAAGAUGAACAUCCUGCCGUCUGGACAACAGUUUCUGAAGUUAAGUACCCCAUCGCAACUUGAUAAUUGGGUAAGAAUAACAGGGUCUUUAGGGUCUCACAUUAAUUUACCACAACGGAUUAGGCUGCUCCUUUUUUUUAUAAAAAAGUCAAUUCUUUUCAAUAAGGGUUAUGUUGAUUUAUUUCAGAUAGACAGAACUCAUGGGACCACUAAAGCAUUGAAUUUAACAUUUGGGGUGAGCUUUUUAUGCUCACCCUGCAGAAUGAAUUGUGUGAGUGUGUCUUGCCGUUUAUCUAGAACCUCGACAAGUCGAACUCCAGAAUUUGAAGAAACUGUUUGUAGGGUUUUCUUUUCAAAACAGAAAACUGCAUUCUACUGAUCAUGAACUUCUGUCUUGAGCCCUGGAGAGGAUAUCAUCAUAUACUAGAGUGGCUGUUAAACCGUUACCAUUACUGAGUUUUGAGUAAUGGUAAGGGUUCCACAGCCUCUUCUCACAGUCAUCUGACCAGAAAGGAAGAAACUUCAGGACAGUCAAGAACCACUACGCUAUAUAAGAAAGUAAAGUUAGAUCUGCCUUUUACAUUUUAUGUACAAGAAUUCAUCAAAAUAAAAUGAUUAUGCAUAAUAUGCAGAGGAAUGAGAUGAAAUCGCUGUGAAGUGAAAUAAAAUGUAAUAAAAUCAAAAUGAUUGCAAA